GGGGAUAUAGCUCAGCUGUAGAGCGUAUGCCUAGCAUGUACAAGGUCCUCAGUUCAAUCCCCAGUACUUCCA
rnacentral:tRNA from 1 species